rnacentral:rRNA from 1 species
AUACGGAGGGGGCUAGCGUUGUUCGGAAUUACUGGGCGUAAAGCGCGCGUAGGCGGACUUUCAAGUCAGGGGUGAAAUCCCGAGGCUCAACCUCGGAACUGCCUCUGAUACUGUAAGUCUUGAGACCGAGAGAGGUGAGUGGAAUUCCUAGUGUAGAGGUGAAAUUCGUAGAUAUUAGGAAGAACACCAGUGGCGAAGGCGGCUUACUGGCUCGAUACUGACGCUGAGGCGCGAAAGCGUGGGGAGCAAACAGGAUUAGAAACCCCAGUAGUCC